rnacentral:rRNA from 3 species
UGACCUCUGACCUCAAAUCAGGUAGGACUACCCGCUGAACUUAAGCAUAUCAAU